rnacentral:rRNA from 1 species
GGGCCCGCACAAGCGGUGGAGCAUGUGGUUUAAUUCGAUGAUACGCGAGGAACCUUACCAGGGCUUAAAUGUAUUCUGACAGCUUUAGAGAUAGAUCUUUCUUCGGACUACCUACAGGUGCUGCAUGGUUGUCGUCAGCUCGUGCCGUGAGGUGUCAGGUUAAGUCCUAUAACGAGCGCAACCCCUGUCGUUAGUUACCAGCAAUUAAAGUUGGGUACUCUAGCGAGACUGCCGGUGCAAACCGUGAGGAAGGUGGGGAUGACGUCAAAUCAUCACGGCCCUUACGUCCUGGGCUACACACGUGCUACAAUGGCCGGUACAGAGAGCAGCCACUACGCGAGUAGGAGCGAAUCUUCAAAGCCGGUCUCAGUUCGGAUCGCAGUCUGCAACUCGACUGCGUGAAGCUGGAAUCGCUAGUAAUCG